UGCAAGUCGAGGGGUAGAGGCCUUCGGGCCUUGAGACCGGCGCACGGGUGCGUAACGCGUAUGCAAUCUGCCUUCCACAGAGGGAUAGCCCAGAGAAAUUUGGAUUAAUACCUCAUAGCAUCAUGACCCGGCAUCGGGAUAUGAUUAAAGUCACAACGGUGGAAGAUGAGCAUGCGUCCCAUUAGCUAGUUGGUAAGGUAACGGCUUACCAAGGCUACAAUGGGUAGGGGUCCUGAGAGGGAGAUCCCCCACACUGGUACUGAGACACGGACCAGACUCCUACGGGAGGCAGCAGUGAGGAAUAUUGGUCAAUGGGCGCAAGCCUGAACCACCCAUGCCGCGUGCAGGAUGACGGUCCUAUGGAUUGUAAACUGCUUUUGUACGGGAAGAAACCCUCCUACGUGUAGGAGCUUGACGGUACCGUAAGAAUAAGGAUCGGCUAACUCCGUGCCAGCAGCCGCGGUAAUACGGAGGAUCCAAGCGUUAUCCGGAAUCAUUGGGUUUAGAGGGUCUGUAGGCGGUCUUGUAAGUCAGUGGUGAAAGCCCAUCGCUCAACGGUGGAACGGCCAUUGAUACUGCUGGACUUGAAUUAUUGGGAAGCAACUAGAAUAUGUAGUGUAGCGGUGAAAUGCUUAGAGAUUACAUGGAAUACCAAUUGCGAAGGCAGGUUGCUACCAAUGGAUUGACGCUGAUGGACGAAAGCGUGGGUAGCGAACAGGAUUAGAUACCCUGGUAGUCCACGCCGUACACGAUGGAUACUAGCUGUUGGGCGCAAGUUCAGUGGCUAAGCGAAAGUGAUAAGUAUCCCACCUGGGGAGUACGAACGCAAGUUUGAAACUCAAAGGAAUUGACGGGGGCCCGCACAAGCGGUGGAGCAUGUGGUUUAAUUCGAUGAUACGCGAGGAACCUUACCAAGGCUUAAAUGCAGACUGACCGGUUUGGAAAC
rnacentral:rRNA from 1 species